rnacentral:rRNA from 1 species
AGUGAACGCUGGCGGUAGGCCUAACACAUGCAAGUCGAACGGCAGCACAGUAAGAGCUUGCUCUUACGGGUGGCGAGUGGCGGACGGGUGAGGAAUACAUCGGAAUCUACUUUUUCGUGGGGGAUAACGUAGGGAAACUUACGCUAAUACCGCAUACGACCUACGGGUGAAAGCAGGGGAUCUUCGGACCUUGCGCGAUUGAAUGAGCCGAUGUCGGAUUAGCUAGUUGGCGGGGUAAAGGCCCACCAAGGCGACGAUCCGUAGCUGGUCUGAGAGGAUGAUCAGCGACACUGGAACGGGGACACGGACCAGACUACUACGGGAGGCAGCAGUGGGGAAUAUUGGACAAUGGGAGCAAGCCUGAUCCAGCCAUACCGCGUGGGUGAAGAAGGCCUUCGGGUUGUAAAGCCCUUUUGUUGGGAAAGAAAAGCAGCAGGUUAAUACCCCGCUGUUCUGACGGUACCCAAAGAAUAAGCACCGGCUAACUUCGUG